UACAGAGGGUGCGAGCGUUGUCCGGAUUCAUUGGGCGUAAAGAGCUCGUAGGCGGCUUUGCAAGUGCGGCGUGAAAGUCCUGGGCUCAACCUGGGGACGGCGCUGCGGACUGCAUGGCUGGAGUCCGGAAGAGGGUGGUGGAAUUCCGAGUGUAGAGGUGAAAUGCGUAGAUAUCUGGAGGAAUACCGGUGGCGAAGGCGGCAUCCUGGACCGACAUUGACGCUGAGGAGCGAAAGCUAGGGGAGCAAACGGG
rnacentral:rRNA from 1 species